UGGCUGAAUAGUUAAAGUGCCCAACUCAUAAUUGGCGAAUUCGUAGGUUCAAUUCCUAC
rfam:Nicotiana attenuata strain TT chromosome 9, whole genome shotgun sequence.